rnacentral:rRNA from 1 species
GAUGAACGCUGGCGGCGUGCCUAAUACAUGCAAGUCUAGCGAACAGACUAGGAGCUUGCUCCUCUGUCGUUAGCGGCGGACGGGUGAGUAACACGUGGAUAACCUACCUAUAAGACUGGGAUAACUUCGGGAAACCGGAGCUAAUACCGGAUAACAUUUUGAACCGCAUGGUUCAACAGUGAAAGACGGUCUUGCUGUCACGUAUAGAUGGAUCCGCGCCGCAUUAGCUAGUUGGUAAGUUAACGGCUUAACAAGGGAACGAUGCGUAGCCGACCUGAGAGGGGGAUCGGCCCCACUGGAACGGGGCCAAGCUCCAGACUCCUACGGGAGGCAGCAGUCGGGAACCGUCCGCAGUGGGGGAAAACCUGACGCAGCACCGCCGAGUGAGUGAAGAAGGUCUCCGGAUCGUAAAACUCUCUUAUUCGGGAAGAACAAAUGUCUAAGUAACUAUGCCCGUCUUGACGGUACCUAAUCAGAAAGCCACGGCUAACUACGUG